AGAGAGAGACAUGCGCGCAUAUCAAUAAGCGGAGGAAAAGAAACUAACAAGGAUUCCCCUAGUAACGGCGAGUGAAGCGGGAAGAGCUCAAAUUUGAAAUCUUAAAGGGUUUCCCUUUACGAAUUGUAGUUUAAAGAAGUGUUUUCUGUUGAGGUUUUGGUAAAAGUUCUUUGGAAUAGGACAUCAUAGAGGGUGAGAAUCCCGUAUUUGACCUUUACUUUCAACUUUGUGAUACACUUUCAAAGAGUCGGAUUGUUUGGGAAUGCAGUCCAAAAUGGGUGGUAAAUUUCAUCUAAAGCUAAAUAUUGGCGAGAGACCGAUAGCGAACAAGUACCGUGAGGGAAAGAUGAAAAGAACUUUGAAAAGAGAGUUAAACAGUACGUGAAAUUGUCAAAAGGGAAGCGUUUGACACCAGUGUUGUUUUUCUGAAAAUCAAUUAAAGAACUGUUUAUGCUAAGUUGUUUAGACUUUAUCAGCUAACUGUUUAGUUUUGAGCUUUUCUUUAAUGCACUUUUCAGUUAACAAGUCAACAUCAAUUUCUUUUGCUGUAAAAAAGCUUGAGGAAGGUGGCUUGAGAUUCGUCUUAAGUGUUUAUAGCCUCUUGCCUAGUGCAGUCGGAGAGAUUGAGGUCUGCAGCGUAGAUCCUUCGGGGCUAAAUGCAUUUGUGCUAAGUUAUAGCAUUUUAUAGACAACUUGUUGACUAUGAUUUGUCUUGUAGCUUACUCGCUUAUGUUAUUUUACCUACGCUUAGGAUGUUGACGCAUGAGAUAUACGC
rnacentral:rRNA from 1 species